rnacentral:piRNA from 1 species
UCCUGGUGCACUGAGGCACAGAUGCCAGUC